rnacentral:lncRNA from 1 species
ACCGAUUUUUGUCACAUCAGUCAGGCACAGUCUGAGCCAAACUCUCUCUCUCUCUCUCACACACACACAUUUGACAGGACUGUACACAAGAGCUAGCAGUGCCAAGACAUGUUGUUUUGAAUAGAUAUGGGCUACGUUUUCAAAGGACAGGAAAAUAAACGUCCAGUUUGGCUGGACAUUCCCACAGUCAAGAACCAGCGUGCAAGGCUGCCCUCCCGCUCAAGCCUCACGGGACUGACCUCUCCUGGCUUUCAAGAGAGACUUCAGCUAUCUUGUAUGCAAAAAUACAUAAAAGACUACCAGAGAAUACAACUAACUUAUGAUGGUUGUGUCAGUCAAAGAAAAGCUGAUUGAUCUCUCCCAGAACUGCAAUUCUUCAUACCACUGAAUUCAAAUCUGGUUGUCUUUUGUUCUCCAACUACGCUCACUGUGCUUCUGAAGAGAAAGAACUCACAUUGAUUUCCAAGUGCCAGACCCACCUCCACGGUCAGUAUGUGCCCAGUCUCCAGGUCCCCAGGGCCCUCAGGCACCACUCAGCCUCCUUCACGGAUGAGGAUGCUUCUAGCACAAGCAUGUCUUUUCCUGGUGACCACCUGAGCACAGAGUGCUUCCUGGCAUCUUAACUAAACUGUUCUUGGUUGCCUCACUGCCC